CAGCAGCCGCGGUAAUACGUAGGGUGCAAGCGUUAUCCGGAAUUAUUGGGCGUAAAGAGCUCGUAGGCGGUCUGUCGCGUCUGCUGUGAAAACUGGGGGCUCAACCCCCAGCCUGCAGUGGGUACGGGCAGACUAGAGUGCGGUAGGGGAGAUUGGAAUUCCUGGUGUAGCGGUGGAAUGCGCAGAUAUCAGGAGGAACACCGAUGGCGAAGGCAGAUCUCUGGGCCGUAACUGACGCUGAGGAGCGAAAGCAUGGGGAGCGAACAGGAUUAGAUACCCCAGUAGUCCCUGUCUCUUAUAC
rnacentral:rRNA from 1 species